rnacentral:tRNA from 1 species
GCGGGUGUAGCUCAGUUGGUAGAGUGUCAGUUUGUGGCACUGAAGGUCGCCAGUUCAAUCCUGGUCACUCGCC